GAUGAACGCUGGCGGCGUGCCUAAUACAUGCAAGUCGAGCGAACGGACGAGGAGCUUGCUCCUCUGACGUUAGCGGCGGACGGGUGAGUAACACGUGGAUAACCUACCUAUAAGACUGGGAUAACUUCGGGAAACCGGAGCUAAUACCGGAUAAUAUAUUGAACCGCAUGGUUCAAUAGUGAAAGACGGUUUUGCUGUCACUUAUAGAUGGAUCCGCGCCGCAUUAGCUAGUUGGUAAGGUAACGGCUUACCAAGGCAACGAUGCGUAGCCGACCUGAGAGGGUGAUCGGCCACACUGGAACUGAGACACGGUCCAGACUCCUACGGGAGGCAGCAGUAGGGAAUCUUCCGCAAUGGGCGAAAGCCUGACGGAGCGACGCCGCGUGAGUGAUGAAGGUCUUCGGAUCGUAAAACUCUGUUAUUAGGGAAGAACAAAUGUGUAAGUAACUAUGCACGUCUUGACGGUACCUAAUCAGAAAGCCACGGCUAACUACGUG
rnacentral:rRNA from 1 species